rnacentral:lncRNA from 10 species
AUAUUGUUGACACAUAAUAAUUGUAUAUAUCUAUGGGGUAAAAUGUGACAUGUUGAUACAUGCAUGCAUUGUGUAAUUAUCAACUUUAGGUAAUUAACAUAUCCAUCAGCUUAAAAUAAUCAUUUCUUUGUGAUGAGAACAUUCAAAACCUCUCUUCUAGCUAUUUUGAAAUACAUAAUGCAUUAGUUUUAACUCUAGUCAUCCUACGAUGCAAUAGAAUGACAGAACUUAUUCCUCCUUGUCAACAGUACCUUUGGACCCAUUGACUAAUCUCUUCCCCACUCCACUCUCCCCUCCCUUUCCCAUCCUCUGGUAACCACUAUUCUACUCUCUACUUCUAUGAGACCAACUUUUAGAUUCCACAUAUGAGUGGGAUCAUGCAGUGUUUGUCUUUCUGUUCCUGGAUUAUUUCACUCUCAGUAGUGGCUCUCCACUCCUAGAAGCCUCUUUCCACUCCUAGAGGUCACCCUUCACUCCUAGAGGUCGCUCUCCACACUAGAGGACACCUUCCACUCCUAGAGGUUGCCCUUCACUCCUAGAGGUCACUCUCCACUCCUACAGGCCAACUUCCACUCCUAGAGGCAACUUUUCAUUCCCAGGGAUUACCCUCCACUACCAGAGGUCACUCUCCACUUCUGAAGGCCACCCUCCACUCUUAGAGGCCAGCAUUCAUUUCUGGAGGCCACCCUCCACUCUUAGAGGCGACGCUUCACUUCUGGAGGCUACCCUCCACUCUUAGAGGCUGCUCUUCACUCUUAGAGGCCACUGUUCACUCCUGGAGGCCACUCUCCAUUCUUAGAGUCUGCCCUCCACUCCAAGAGGUUGCCCUUCACACUUUGUGGCUUUUCUCAGCUACCAAAGGCUGCCCUUAUUUCCUUGCCCCAUAACUUUCUUAGCCAUUACCAACCUCAUUGAGCCAGCAAGAAAAAUCUCCAGAAUGAGAGUUCUACAAGACAGAGUCUUAUAUAGGAAGAUAAUUGUAAGAGUGACAUCUCCUCACCUUUGCUAUAUUCUCUCGGUAGGAAGCAUGCACUCAAAGAGAGUAGAUCCUACAAAGGUGUGAACACUGGGAGCUGUGGAUCAUUCAGGGGUUGACUUAGAGUCUGUCUGUAAUAGAUCCCGUGGGUAAGAUCUACAUACACUAUUUAUGGCACAACUGUAUAGCUAAAAAGGAAAUAUGUUCAAAAUAGGUGGUCCUGAAAAUAGAAAACCAUAAGUAAGAACUUUUAAAUAUUUUGUCCCAUGGCCCAAAUGAACAUCCCUCAGAACCACAUUAACUUAGAGUUAGUUUUCAGGAGGGUAUUCUUAAUUAUAGCAGUAAUCUAAAAUAAAUAACUGGCAGAUAAAACAGAAACAAGUACCCCUCAACAAAAUCCAACAUUAUUCCUCUCUCUCUCUCUUUUUUUUUUAGACGGAGUCUUGCUCUGUAGCCCAGGCUGGAGUGCAGUGGGGCAAUCUUGGCUCACAGCAACCUCCAUCUCCCGGGUUCAAGCAAUUUUCCUGCCUCAGUCUCCUGAGCAAAUGGAAUUACAGGCACAUGCCACCACACCUGGCUAAUUUUUGUAUUUUUAGUAGAAACUGGGUUUCACCAUGUUGGCCAGGCUGGCCUCAAACUCUUGACCUCAGGUGAUCCAGGUACCUCGGCCUCCCAAAGUGCUGGGAUUUCAGGUGUGAGCCACCAUGCCUAGCCUAUUAUUUCUCUUUUGACACACAGAUAUAUUCCAAAGUAUAUGUAAGCAUCUGUAUAAUUGCUAUAACAAUUUCACAGUUAUUUAUUAUGAAGUUAAUGUUAAUUAAUUUAUUCUGCUGUACAUAUCUACAUGAUGCAUCCACGAAGGGAAGAAAAACAAUUAUCACACCAACCUUGACCACUUAUUAUUUUAAUUUUGUAAUUGAUUUUACUUUUUAAAGCAGUUGUAGACGCACAGCAAAAUUAGGAGGAAGAUGCAGAGUUCUCACGUCUCCAGCCCCACAUGUGCACAGCCUUUCCCAUCAUCAACUUCUCCCACAAAGGGGUCACAUUUGUCCCAGUCAAUGUAACACAUCAUUAUUACCCAGAGGCUGUAGUUUACAUUUGAAUUCACUCUUGGUGUUGUACAUCCUAUGGGUUUGGAGAAAUGUACAAUGCAUAAUGACAGUGUAUAAAAUCAUAUGUUGACUUUUUCUUAGGAAAAAAAAUCCGUAAAAUGAAUGUAGAAACUAAAAGGAAAUGCUUUUGACCUAGUAUUAUUAUUAUUUGCUUGCAUUCGACCCUUGAAAGAGAAAACACAAUGUCAGGAUCUUGAAAAAAAUUGGCAGCUAAGAAGGUUGUGUCCUUGGAACAGGAAGUAAACAUUUAUGAGGGACAAAAUAAAGGAUAGUUAUUUUUGUUAUUUAUACUUUAUCCCUGGAAAUCAAUCUAUCAUGUGUUUCAUUUCUUCUUUGUCUCUCCUUUUGUUUAUUUGACAAGUGUUCAUUUUUUUGCUGGUUGGUUGGUUAUUGUCAUUUUUG